rfam:Coccomyxa subellipsoidea C-169, whole genome shotgun sequence.
CUCCGUAUGGUGUAGGUGGUCAGCAUGGCAGGUUUUCACCCUGUAGUCCCGGGUUCGAGUCCCGGUACGGAGG